rnacentral:rRNA from 1 species
AACGAACGUUGGCGGUAGGCUUAACACAUGCAAGUCGAACGAGAAAUCACCUUCGGGUGGUGGACAGUGGCGAACGGGUGAGUAAUACUUGGGAAUCUACCCUGAAGUGGGGGAUAACAGUUGGAAACGACUGCUAAUACCGCAUAAUCCAUAUUGGGAAAGCUUUAGUGCUUUAGGAUGAGCCCAAGCCUGAUUAGCUUGUUGGUGAGGUAAUGGCUCACCAAGGCGACGAUCAGUAGCUGGUUUGAGAGGAUGAUCAGCCACACUGGGACUGAGACACGGCCCAG